ensembl:snRNA U6 U6 spliceosomal RNA
GUGCUGGCUUAGACAGCACAUAUGGUAAAAUGGGAACAAUACAGAGAAAAUUAGCAUGACCCCUUGCAGGGGUGACAGUCAUAUUUGUGAAGUGUUCCAUAUUUUU